GAUGAACGCUGGCGGCGUGCCUAAUACAUGCAAGUCGAGCGAACAGAUGAGGAGCUUGCUCCUCUGACGUUAGCGGCGGACGGGUGAGUAACACGUGGAUAACCUACCUAUAAGACUGGGAUAACUUCGGGAAACCGGAGCUAAUACCGGAUAAUAUAUUGAACCGCAUGGUUCAAUAGUGAAAGACGGUUUUGCUGUCACUUAUAGAUGGAUCCGCGCCGCAUUAGCUAGUUGGUAAGGUAACGGCUUACCAAGGCAACGAUGCGUAGCCGACCUGAGAGGGUGAUAGGCCACACUGGAACGGAGAAACGGUCCAGACUCCUACGGGGGGCAGCAGUAGGGAAUCUUCCGCAAUGGGCGAAAGCCUGACGGAGCAACGCCGCGUGAGUGAUGAAGGUCUUCGGAUCGUAAAACUCUGUUAUUAGGGAAGAACAAAUGUGUAAGUAACUAUGCACGUCUGGACGGUACCUAAUCAGAAAGCCACGGCUAACUACGU
rnacentral:rRNA from 1 species